rfam:Pseudomonas fulva 12-X, complete genome.
CUGCCGCACCGACGUCAUGUCGGUGUUGCAGUAUCGCCAGGGCGCUGGCCUAGCCGCCAGCGCCCUUAUACGAAAAAUAUGACGACCAGCAGGGGCAUUCGGGCUGGUGCCCGGACUAUCUGCGGGAUUCUUGGUGGCUUUGCUGAAGUCGCUGCAACCUGACUUCGAAAGCCUACGGUGUCCUCGCCGGUGGUGUCCCCUUACCGAGGGUGACCA